rnacentral:rRNA from 1 species
CGGGUGAGUAACGCGUAAAGAACUUGCCUCACAGAUAGGGACAACAUUUGGAAACGAAUGCUAAUACCUGAUAUUAUGAUUUUAGGGCACCCUAGAAUUAUGAAAGCUAUAUGCGCUGUGAGAGAGCUUUGCGUCCCAUUAGUUAGUUGGAGGGGUAACGGCUCACCAAGGCGAUGAUGGGUAGCCGGCCUGAGAGGGUGAUCGGCCACAAGGGGACUGAGACACGGCCCUU